rnacentral:other from 1 species
UACUUUCUGAAAUGCUCGUUAAGCUCUUAUUUUGAACCUACAUUUAAAAUUCGGGAGUUCAAUAUUUAGAUGCGGAAAUGUACCUUCUUGUGAGUCCCCAUGGGGCAUUGAAGUCGAUUGAAACAUCUGUGAGGACACCCACCUAUCGAAGGAUAGGUGUCAAAAUUAGAGUACCGGUAUUUUGGAUAUAUA